UGCUCAGAGUAUAUGUUUUUUGUUAUUCUGUUUUAGGUUGUGUUGCGUUUUUAUCUAUUAACCGAACUGCGAAAUACGAAUAUCCUUUGCUUUUUAGAGAUCACGUAUACCGCAACUUGAGUGAAAAUGGCAGAGAAAUAUUCUACGCU